GAAAGCCACGAGUUUAGCUUCUACGAGUCGCAGAUGUUAUGCUGUAGUUUCGAGUGUCGAUAAGAAGCCCGAUAUUCUCCUAAUUGGUCGUUAGGAAAUACGCACAUAUGACCAAUGACCCAAUGCGACGCAGCAACAUUAUCCGCGGUGUCUCACAACGCGUAUAGUGUGUAGUUACACAUAAGGAUGUCUUACAGUUAGAAGGAUCUGUUUAUGGAGUGAGGAAAGUAAUGAACUUUGUGACAAGACGACAAACGACUGAUGAUGGGUUGAAUAAUUCAGCACUUGAUACUCGGUACUCGGCAUUUAUCCCAAAAUCUCGUUAUUCAGGAAAAAUUUCUACAUAUACAUAUAAAUAAUUGUUCUAAAGAUUACCUUUAUCUCUUUUUUUUCAAUAUCAAUUCCUGCGCAAGGCAACCGGAAACAAUUAUCGGCCCUGCAUUAAUGUCAAAGGUCGAUCCUCCGUCCACCGUAUGACGUAAUAAUUAGAACUUGUUUUUUAAAACAUUUAUUUUAUACACGUCGCCUGUUCCAUGUCGCGUAACGAUUUAAGGUUAACGAACACAUCGGGUGGUCUCACAUUCGAUUUUCGAUGUAGAUAAGCCCAUUAUUUACUGAAUAUGAUCAGGAAUAACCGUGAUCCCUUAAUAAAGAGGGAAGAACAGAUAAAGUAAAGGAAAGGCACGAAAAAAGUGUGUGUUUGCGAGAAAAAUUGGCAAUAUGUAUAUAAAAAAAUCACGAAUUCUUCUAGAAGGAUGGUAUCGUUAAAAGCGAUAGGUUCAAAACUCAAACACUUGUUUAUAUUUUUGAAAAGGAAUAUAUAGAAUUAGAAAAGAUCAUUUUAAAGAAAAAAGUACACAUAUUAAAACAAAAUUAAAACGUAACAAUGACGAAAUCGUAGAAUGCAAUUCUGUUAUUGAACAGAACGUUGAACGAUAAAGUGUACUAAAAUAUGGAAAAUGAAUAUAUGUAACAGUUUUAAGAAAUAAAAGUAAAGGUUAGUUAUCAUUGUAUGUACCCAGACGAAGAAACUGAAGAAACAUAUCUGUUGAUGUCCCCUCGAUUUAUCGCUAAAUGCACAUGUAUACAUGUACAUGUAUAUAUACGUAGGUAAUUUAAGAAAAAUUUUUUUUUCAUUGCAUCGGACAAUCAUAAUUUAUAUGUAUUUAUAUGUAUGUUUAACGUUGCAAUAAUAUUGUAAAAAAUCUUUUGGUUCCACUAAAUUUCGAUCCUUUCUAUUUUUCUAUUUUUAUCAAAGUAGGAUAAAAUUAAUGAAUAAAGUGAAAAUUAAAUACAGAACACAUAUAUAUUGUAUUCGAUCAAACACGUGAAUAUGUAUACGUGUGCCAAAAAUAAUCAGUAUCGAAGAAUAUUAUUUGUAAAUUAUUCAAAAAAUAUGAAAAACAUCACUUACCAGAAGAAAAAUAUAAUCAGUAGUAGAUUUUAGUCUAAGAUGUGUAAUAGAGUAGAUCGUUGGUUAAGCUGUUAGACAACGCGCAUGAA